rnacentral:ncRNA from 1 species
AAACUGAAGAGUUUGAUCAUGGCUCAGAUUGAACGCUGGCGGCAGGCUUAACACAUGCAAGUCGAGCGGAAACGAUGAUAGCUUGCUAUCAGGCGUCGAGCGGCGGACGGGUGAGUA